CAGCUCAAGCCCCUGGGCUGGGAAGUGUUGGGAGUCAAAUGUAUGGAAUUACACAAAUCACAGCAACUGGCAUCACCCAGAGGGACAAUCCAAGUCCCAAACAAUUCCUCCACAAUCCACUCUAGGGAAAACCACCCUGUGCCUACCAGGAUCUUUGAUUCUGCUUUUCCUAACAGCUCCUGGGCAGUGUCAGGGCCACCAUGAGGCCUUUAAAAUCCAGAUAAACCCCAAAUCCCACACAGUGAUUAAUCCAAAUCAAGAACCGAAUUGUUGUCAUCAAAAGCUCAAAACUCAUUAAGAAUUCUAUGACAAAAAUGUAAUUGAUUCCCAGGAACCUCAUUAAUGCUCUCGGUUUCAUUUUCUGUAUUUUUACUCCCUCAUUUGGCAGCUUGUAAAACUUAUCCUGGAAUUCAGAGGUCAAACAGGAUCGACUUUGGAUUGACCUUCACCUCUGUUCCCACUUUGUGCAAACACAACUUGUGCCCAGAUGUUGGACUUGCCUUUGUGGAUGUGUGCUGAGCUCCCGCUGCAGGGGUCUGUCAGGCUUGAAUGGCUGUGAGUUCCUGUUCUUCUCAGUAGGGAAUCCGAAAUUAUUAUUAGAUCACAGAAAUAUUUUCUGAAA